AUUGAGUGCAAAGAAGUAGCACAGAACAUGAAAUAAAAAUAUUGUGCAAACCUUGGCACUGAGAUAUUCUCCAGCGAAACAAAAAAUGAAAGCUUCCAAUGUUACGGCGACGUAAAAAAUAGCGGAUUUUAACAAUAUUAUAGUAACUCCAGCCUUACCGAGGGACUGUGAAAAGAUGACGAACAACUCGAAAAAUACUCAACAUAACUAUGAUCGUGAAGCCGAUGCAACAGAUGACUAAGUUAUCAGAAGCCUGAUCCCCGCAAUGAUCGAACUGCUCUCUGAAGAUUCAUCAUUGCAAGUCAUUAAUAACUCCUGACGAAGAAUAUCGAUCUGUCCGGUCACGUGAAGCACCUAAAUGCAACUAUUAAUGAUCCGUAAAAAGUACUUUUGAUUAUUAUCAGCAAAAGUUCAGUAAAAAAUUAAAAAAUUUUCAAGUUGCUAAUAAGAAAUUAGAAAAAUCAGAUUAAUCACUGAACUUUAAUGUUCGCAGGAAUCCUUUAGAACAAGUGAAAGGUAGAAUCCCAGGAGAGUUC